rnacentral:rRNA from 1 species
GACGAACGCUGGCGGCGCGCCUAACACAUGCCAGUCGAACGAGCGAGCGAGAGCUUGCUUUCUCGAGCGAGUGGCGAACGGGUGAGUAACGCGUGAGGAACCUGCCUCAAAGAGGGGGACAACAGUUGGAAACGACUGCUAAUACCGCAUAAGCCCACGGUGCCGCAUGGCACAGAGGGAAAAGGAGCAAUCCGCUUUGAGAUGGCCUCGCGUCCGAUUAGCUAGUUGGUGAGGUAAUGGCCCACCAAGGCGACGAUCGGUAGCCGGACUGAGAGGUUGAACGGCCACAUUGGGACUGAGACACGGCCCAGACUCCUACGGGAGGCAGCAGUGGGGAAUAUUGCACAAUGGGGGAAACCCUGAUGCAGCGACGCCGCGUGGAGGAAGAAGGUCUUCGGAUUGUAAACUCCUGUUGUUGGGGAAGAUAAUGACGGUACCCAACAAGGAAGUGACGGCUAACUACGUG